GCAGAGCACUCCUAGGGAGGCAGCAGUGGGGAAUAUUGCACAAUGGGCGCAAGCCUGAUGCAGCCAUGCCGCGUGUAUGAAGAAGGCCUUCGGGUUGUAAAGUACUUUCAGCAGUGAGGAAGGUGGGUAUGUUAAUAGCAUACUCAUUUGACGUUAGCUGCAGAAGAAGCACCGGCUAACUCCGUGCCAGCAGCCGCGGUAAUACGGAGGGUGCGAGCGUUAAUCGGAAUUACUGGGCGUAAAGCGCAUGCAGGUGGUUUGUUAAGUCAGAUGUGAAAGCCCGGGGCUCAACCUCGGAAUUGCAUUUGAAACUGGCAAACUAGAGUACUGUAGAGGGGGUAGAAUUUCAGGUGUAGCGGUGAAAUGCGUAGAGAUCUGAAGGAAUACCGGUGGCGAAGGCGGCCCCCUGGACAGAUACUGACACUCAGAUGCGAAAGCGUGGGGAGCAAACAGGAUUAUAUACCCUGGUAG
rnacentral:rRNA from 1 species